rnacentral:sRNA from 1 species
AGAAAAGUAGGUGCCGCCCCGCACAGGGGCAACGCUAAUAGACCGAUAACAAAGCAAGGAAAGGCCAAAAACCCCACCAGCCUAUCCCGACGUAAUCACCGUGCAAACCCGCGCCCAGCGGCCCCAC